rnacentral:ncRNA from 1 species
ACCUCGCCGCAGCGUCGGUUAAGCUUCGUACGAGAGGAACCGCUUAUUUAGAUAUUUAGUUUUGCGGUUGUCCGACCAGGCAGUACCGCGAAGCUACCAUGUGCUGGAUAAUAGCUGAACGCCUCUAAGUCGGAAUCCAUGCCAGAACGCGAUGAAAACACCGCACAUAUAGAUGGACAAGAAUAGGCUUCAGCUUAGUGUCCCAGCAGGCGAUUCCUCCGUGGUCCUCGAAGCGGGCCGCGGCAUUUCGCGUAUGGUGGUUUCAACCCGAGCGAGGUUAAAUCCUUUGAAGACGACUUAGCUGUGCGAAACGGUCCUGUAAGCAGUAGAGUAGCCUUGUUGUUACGAUCUGCUGAGGGUAAGCCGUGCUUCGCCUCGAUUU